rnacentral:rRNA from 1 species
CCUACGGGCGGCAGCAGUGGGGAAUAUUGGGCAAUGGGCGAAAGCCUGACCCAGCAACGCCGCGUGAAGGAAGAAGGCUUUCGGGUUGUAAACUUCUUUUGACAGGGAAGAGCAGAAGACGGUACCUGUCGAAUAAGCCACGGCUAACUACGUGCCAGCAGCCGCGGGAAUACGUAGGUCGCAAGCGUUGUCCGGAUUUACUGGGUGUAAAGGGCGUGUAGGCGGGAGAGCAAGUCAGACGUGAAAUUCCAGGGCUCAACCCUGGAACUGCGUUUGAAACUGUUCUUCUUGAGUGAUGGAGAGGCAGGCGGAAUGCCGUGUGUAGCGGUGAAAUGCGUAGAUAUACGGAGGAACACCAGUGGCGAAGGCGGCCUGCUGGACAUUAACUGACGCUGAGGCGCGAAAGCGUGGGGAGCAAACAGGAUUAGAUACCCCUGUAGUC